AUGGAAACAUCCCACGUGCAAGGAGCCAUCGUCUGCGCCCGUCGGAGCGGUCUGCAAGUCCGUAUCCGCAGCGGAGGCCACGAUUACGAGGGGCUCUCCUACAUGGCCGGUGUCCCUUUCAUCCUCAUCGAUAUGAACAACCUCCGCUCCGUAUGUGUGGACAUCCCAACCGAGAGUGCUUGGAUCGAUUCCGGAGCGACCCUUGGCGACGUGUAUUUCCGGAUCUCGGAAAAGAGUAACGUCUACGCCUUCCCCGCAGGUAGUUGCUCCACGGUCGGUAUCGGAGGCCACUUGGGCUGUGGUGGCUUCGGCUUCAUCUUCAGGAAGUUCGGACUCUCGGCCGAUACCGUCCUCGACGCCAAGAUCGUCGAUGUAAACGGAAGGCUACUAACGAGAGACACCAUGGGAGAAGACCUCUUCUGGGCUAUCCGUGGAGGCGGCCCGGGGAGCUUCGGAGUUGUCGUCGCCUGGAAGGUGAGGAUCGUACCCGUACCGCCGAUAGUCACGAGGUUCUCCGUCGAUUAUACUCUUGAAGAAGGUGGCGCUCGGCUCCUGCAGAAGUGGCAAGACGUCGCGCACAGGCUCCCAGAAGAUCUCUUCCUGCGUGUCGUGUUGAUUCUUUCAGAGAAUACAACCCUAACGGUGUCCUUCCAGUCCUUGUAUCUCGGGCGAGCGGAUCGACUCUUGUGGGUACUCGGGAACAGCUUCCCCGAGCUGAACAUCCGACGUGAAAACUGUACGGAGAUGACGUGGAUUCAAUCCGCGGUCGACUUGGCCGGGUUCCCGUUUAACAGCUCCGCGACCGUCUUGUUGAACCGCACAACGCAACAGGUGGUUGCGUCCAAGAUGAAAUCGGACUACGUGACGGUCAAUCGACCCAUACCCGAAGCUGGAUACGAUGGACUCUUCAAUCUGAUUUUACAAUCCAACAUGUCAUCGCUGUACCUGAUCCUGACACCGUACGGUGCCAUAUUGGACAAGAUUCCGGCGGAUGCCAUUCCCUUUCCCUACAGGUUCGGGAUCAACUACGGUAUCCAGUACGGUGUGUCCUGGGACGUGGGCGAUGACGCCCAGGCUCAGAAAGCGUUGAGCGAUAUCAGGAGGGUCUACAGGUAUAUGGAGCAGUAUGUGUCCAGGGGACCGAGAUCGGCGUACCUGUGUUACAGGGAUCUUGAUUGGGGACGAAUGGAAGGGACGGCAUCGCGGACUUCAGGGAAGCGUCCGUUUGGGGCUUCAAGUACUUCAAUAACAAUUUUAACAGGCUUGUUCGCGUCAAAACUGCGGUUGAUCCUGAGAACUUUUUCAGGUACGAGCAAAGCACACCGCCGGAUUUCCAUCGAGCGUGCAACUGUUGAUUUACUGUACGAAAUAUUGGAUCUUGCGUGGGAGCGCUCUAUUUGA
rnacentral:lncRNA from 1 species